GUCCACACCGUAACGAUGAUUACUAGGUGUUGGAGGAUUGACCCUUCAGUGCCGCAGUUAACACAAUAAGUAAUCCACCUGGGAGUACGACCGCAAGGUUGAACUCAAAGGAAUUGACGGGCCCGCACAAGCAGUGGAGUAUGUGGUUUAAUUCGACGCAACGCGAAGAACCUUACCAAGUCUUGACAUCCUGCGACGGUGCUGGAAACAGCACUUUCCUCGGGACGCAGAGACAGGUGGUGCAUGGUUGUCGU
rnacentral:rRNA from 1 species